UUGUUCAGAGAUUCAUAUUUCUAAUUACAUUUCUUCGCAAAAAGUCAUUAGUUAAAGGACCAAGAAACACUGAACACUUGUUCUACCGAAAUUUCGAUUCCCGAGAGAGAUUGCGUGGGCAAUGGCCUCCACGACCAAGGACGUUAGUAGGUGCGUAAAUUACCCACUCUCCAUAUGGAGAGAUAGUGAUAAAAAAUUCGAAUAAAGAAGUCAUUUGAGGUUCCCUACUUCAAAUUAUUACAAUUUAAAUCUUUCAAAGAAGACCAACCGAAGGAUAAUUCUUGUGUGGCAAAAGCUAUGCUGACUCCAGCUACAAA
rnacentral:ncRNA from 1 species